GCAUUCCCCCGGGACACCCGGCCCACGCUCGUCGGUCACUACGCUAUCAGCCUCCGCGCUCUCGGACUCCAGCAGCCCCGACACGCCGCCCAGGAGAGGGCCGGGCAGGCCGAGCACCCCGGCCCGCGCUCCCGCCACCAGCGCACCCAUGAUGUACUCACGGAGAGGGGUACGCAGAACCGCCCGUCCCGCCGGAGCCGACACCCGGAGCAGUGCAAAUCAACUCCCCCAGCCUAGCGGCGCGUGCGCGAAGUGAGGCGGCCACGCAGCCACCUAACCCGCCAGCGACCCGUGUCCUGAAAGCAAGCCGCGGCUCUGUGCCGCAGUGCGGACAGCGCGCCGCCUGCUGACGUCAGCGCCUGCCUACGCCGCCGUUCCCAUGGCGACCGAUGCGUCCCGCGCUCUAGGCGAAGACCGCGGCCCCGUCCCCGCGCCUCCACCGCCUUCUUCCAGGAGGAGGGGCCGUGCGGCGCCUGCCCGGGGGCCCUCAGGCCGCAGGCGGGCGCGAGCUUCAGGGAACUUAGGGGGCUCCCGCCUCCCCGGCCACGCGAGCGGGAACAGUCUCCUCCACUCGGAGCGGCGCCAUCUUCAGCUCUGAGUCACCAGGGCUGGAAAAAUACUAGAUGCGCUACUCGUGGACUCGUGAAUACACUCGUGAAUACAGGCCAUUUCCUGUACCUACAGCCACCCGCUGUAAGCUGUUGCUUCAUUUGUACAGUAAGAGUUUAUGGAGGCCAGCUUUUCCAUUCUUACUGACAUUGCCACACCUUACAAACUAUAUGUCUUGUGCUUCCCUAAAUCCUGUGAGGAAGCAACGAGAAAGAUUACUAAUCCAAUGCGUACCGAACUGAGCUGUUCAACUUUCCGUUCUAAACAUACUCUCCUAGAUUUCUAUCUUGCUGUAAGCCACCACAAUCCUCCCAGUGUUUUAGUAAGAACAGUAGAGUAUCCUAAAUGCAUCUUAUGCCAAAGCAUAUCCAUUCUCUCUUUUUAACUUCCUCAGAUGGGCCCUUUACCAGUUCUCUGACUCCAGUUUGACUCUUAAAUUCUCCACACUGCUAUCAGAAUGACCUGACUAAAAAUGUAAAUCGGAUAAUGGCACUCUCCUGCUGAAAAUUUUUGAAAGGCAAUCUGUAAGAGAAAAUGAUUACUUUGCCUAGGAUACAAGAUUCUCCAUCUCCCUGACUAGUUUCAUCUCUCGUUAGCUUCUUGUUCCAAUUUUAUGCAAUAUUGAAUCAUGUGUACCAUGCAGUUUUAUGCAACAUUGAAUUAUGUGUACCAUGAAAAACAAUCCAUAGCCUUUCACGCCCCGUCCUUACUCAUAUUGUCCUCUCUUCCUGAAAAUUCCUCCUUUUACACUCCUGCAUCACAGCCAAAUGUUGUCCAUCCUUUGAAUCUUAAGCAGGUUGACUGACUCCUUCAAACACUCCUACUCCCUAUUAGACUUCGGAUACUCAUUCUAUAUAUUAGACUUUGGAUGCUCAUUCUAUAGUUUCAUAGUUUACUUUGUAUUUUCUCUAUCCCCAGCAUCUACCACAGUGUCUAUGAAAUAGUUGGCAUUUCAUGAACAUUUGUUGAAUGAAUAAUGGAUAACAUAUAUUGAGCUCCUUCUAGGAGGUAUGCAUUGUAGGUGUUUUAUGUACUUUUCAUCUGUCCUCACAACUGCAUUUAAGUACCUGCUUUUCCAAAGGGAAGUUAUAACUCUGACUGCUCAUUCUUAGUAGGGUGUUAGUUUCAGAAUACAAUCCCCAGACUAGCGGAUGUGUAACCCUGUUAUCAUCUCUUGCUUCUCCAUUUACAGUAGCAUGCAGAGGUGCAGUGGGGUGGGGGAGGUCAGGGAAUAUUUCAUAGCAGAAGUGACAUUUAAGUAAAGACCAAAAUAAUGUGUAGAGUUGUCCAGGUUAGGAAGGGUUUCCAGGUAGAAGAAGGUGGCGUAUAGUGUUCACUACAAGAAAGUUUGGUAUAAUACAAGAACUGGAAGAAAAAAAAAAAAAGUUCAAGUUGGCUAACUAAAAGGUAGAGAAUGAGACUAGGGGCUUUUGGAGGAGACAAAACAAGAGAGUUAAACAAGCUAUGAAGAGACCCAGACAGUAUUGGUCAGUGGAAUACCACUAUAGAAUUUUAUGGAGUGAAAUUUUCAAAUUUUAAUAUCAUAAAGAUAACUCUGGCUGCAGGGUGGAGAACAGACAGGAAGGAAGCAAAUCUAGAUCUGGGAAUACCAUUUAAGAUGCCGUUGCUGUAAGCCAUGUAAGAGACAAAGGUGGCAUGGUCAAGGCUAAGAAAAAUCAGAAUGGAGAGAAAUGGACCAAUUUGAGAAAUUUUUAGGAGGUAAAAAUGUCAGGACUUAGUGAUUGAUUGGAUGGAAGAGUGAAUGAUAAGAAAUAAUAAAAAACGAUGACCAGCUGUUUUGCCUUCCCCUUGGCAAGUAAAGAGGUGGCAAGCAUGAAAGGGGAGUGAGGAAAUAAAUAUGUUGGGUCUAAUGGGAGCCAGGUUUCUCACUGACAGAGAAGGACGUUACAAAUUGAGAGAGGAAGAAUUCCACAGUGACCUUUGUGGUGAUGUUGAAUUGGAAUUGAAUAUGUCAGUGUCAACUCAUAGUUUUCAAUAUAUACAU
rnacentral:lncRNA from 1 species